rnacentral:tRNA from 1 species
GCGCGCAUAGCUCAGCCGGUUAGAGCAGAGAUCUUAUAAGUCUCAGGUCGGUGGUUCGAGUCCACCUGCGCGCACCA